UGGGGAAUAUUGGACAAUGGGCGCAAGCCUGAUCCAGCCAUGCCGCGUGAGUGAUGAAGGCCCUAGGGUUGUAAAGCUCUUUCACCGGUGAAGAUAAUGACGGUAACCGGAGAAGAAGCCCCGGCUAACUUCGUGCCAGCAGCCGCGGUAAUACGAAGGGGGCUAGCGUUGUUCGGAUUUACUGGGCGUAAAGCGCACGUAGGCGGACUAUUAAGUCAGGGGUGAAAUCCCGGGGCUCAACCCCGGAACUGCCUUUGAUACUGGUAGUCUUGAGUUCGAGAGAGGUGAGUGGAAUUCCGAGUGUAGAGGUGAAAUUCGUAGAUAUUCGUAGGAACACCAGUGGCGAAGGCGGCUCACUGGCUCGAUACUGACGCUGAGGUGCGAAAGCGUGGGGAGCAAACAGG
rnacentral:rRNA from 1 species